rnacentral:rRNA from 1 species
GAUGAACGCUGGCGGCGUGCCUAAUACAUGCAAGUCGAGCGAACGGACGAGAAGCUUGCUUCUCUGAUGUUAGCGGCGGACGGGUGAGUAACACGUGGAUAACCUACCUAUAAGACUGGGAUAACUUCGGGAAACCGGAGCUAAUACCGGAUAAUAUUUUGAACCGCAUGGUUAAAAAGUGAAAGACGGUCUUGCUGUCACUUAUAGAUGGAUCCGCGCUGCAUUAGCUAGUUGGUAAGGUAACGGCUUACCAAGGCAACGAUGCAUAGCCGACCUGAGAGGGUGAUCGGCCACACUGGAACUGAGACACGGUCCAGACUCCUACGGGAGGCAGCAGUAGGGAAUCUUCCGCAAUGGGCGAAAGCCUGACGGAGCAACGCCGCGUGAGUGAUGAAGGUCUUCGGAUCGUAAAACUCUGUUAUUAGGGAAGAACAUAUGUGUAAGUAACUGUGCACAUCUUGACGGCACCUAAUCAGAAAGCCACGGCUAACUACGUG